rnacentral:lncRNA from 1 species
AGUUAAGAGACAGCAACCGAAUUGUUUUACCCUUCUAUUUUGCCUGCUCCUUCCCCCUGGUGUAUAAUAUUGUUGCCCAGUUCUCUUUUUUGCUUGAUGUAUUCUUGGAUAGAAGAGGUCAAGACGACCAGGGUGGGCGAAAGUGGAUUUUUCCUGUAAUGAGGGUCCCGUGGUGCGGGGACCAGUUUGGCAGCUUGUAAGUGCUAUGGGCAAAUAACUUCCCUUUUCUGGAUCUGGGAGGAGGUCACACGCGCACUUACCCAAAAUAGAUAGGCCGCUCCAUCGUGCUAGGGAGCAAGCAAUUGCUGUCUAGCAGCGUCCUAAAAAUAAUUCUGAUACAGCUGGGAUGCACCCCGAUACCUGUCUGAUACAGGAAAACCCAACCGCUCAAUUCAUACCACAAACGCACCCUACCCAUUCUCGACUCGCUCUCACACGCCCAUGCCUCCAUCUGACCUUAGUGCCACACGGCUAGUUAGACGUGCUGACCUAGCACAUUAAACCACCGGCCCGUUUAUUCCACUGUCCUACUAAAGGAUCCCAUACGAGCACAGUCGGCAGAAAAUCUGGGGUUCCUCCUCACGCCGCCUUUCUCCCUCUUCCUCUGUCCCUUGCUGCACUGAUGGGAACCAGCCAGUGAAGCUCGAUUUCUCGCGAGAGAAGCUCGAUCCGUCGCCGAAAUCAGUCGAUUUGUCGUUGGAGGUUGAGUCCUCGUCGGGGAGGAUGAAUCCUCACUGGGGAGGUUAAAUCCUCGCCGGGGAGGUUGAUUUCACGCCUGCGAAACGGGAUUCCUCACCGGAGAAGGCUGAUUUCUCACCACAGCUCCCUCCCCUGGUCGGAGGGCCGCCGCACUGGAGAAGAAGGAUGGCUGCUGUCAGCCUCUCACCGCCAGAUCCAAACCACCACCGCAGAUCCCUUCGCCGUCCGGAGCUGAUCUGUCUCCUUCCAAGCCGCGGGUCAGUUUCCCCUUCUCCCUUCUCCCUCUCGAGUUGUUGUGUGCCGAUUACUUCUUACCCCCCUUUUAAGGUCAGAAAUGACUAGUUCAUUAAGCACUGGUAGCGACUGGUGGUUCUGGAGUUGGAAGCUCAAACUCAAAUGCAGGCAGUGGAAGAGCCAAUGCAGUCCACGGGCUGAAUGCAGCUUGUGCGAUUUCUCUAAAUGACAAUGGAACCAGUGGGAAGAAGAGAAGGGGUUCAUUGGCUAUUGAAGCAAGCUUCAAUCAGGAAACUCACAGCAAGCUUUGCUGCUCUGAUUGCUAGGAUGUUCUAUACUGCAGGUGGGUAAUUUACAAUGCAAAGUAUUUAAUUACAAUUUUUGCUAGGAUGCUUUUAAUAGCUUUCUAUUUCAUUUGUAGGCAUGCCUUUUUAAUCUUGCGGAGCUAGAGGCCUUGUUUAGAUAAUAUUGGGGCGUUUGGACACUGGAGUUGGAGAACCAAUAGACUUCUAGUAUAAAAAUCACUAAUCUAUAUAUAUAUACGGUGGCGCUAAACCAAGCGAGCGUGCAAAGCUCUUAUUCUACGCGCCGGUCGCUAAUCACUGUGCCACCAAACCAGUGCAGUCUCACUCGGCUAAUUGUGUGAGAGUAAAAGGAAGUAGAAAAUAUAGUAAUUUCUUUAAUUUCUGUUACCAUUCCACGCGCCCCACCUCCGUCCCGUGGCUCCGUACCAACCCGCUAAUCAUGAUGGUAAAACCGCAUGCAAGAAAAAGUAACUGAAUUAAAUUGGUUACUGCUAGUCACACACAACACUCUGCUCCGCAAACCAGUCGUUCUUCUAAUCCCAGUAAAAUAGCCAGCAAAAAUAGUAGUAGGGUUAAAUUUAUUACUAUGAGCCAUGCACAACCCUCCGUCUCGCAAACAAGCCAUUCUUCUAACCCUGGUAAAAUAGCUGGCAAAUAUGGUAAUGGAAUUACCACAAGAUGCACAACUAAAACUAAGAUGGUUACUGCUAGUCACAAACAACACUCUGCUCCGCAAACCAUCCCGGUAAAAUAGCCAGCAAAAAUAGUACUAGAGUUACAUCUAUUACUAUGUGCCAUGCACAACUCCCUGUCUUGCAAACCAGCCAUUCUUCUAACCCUGGUAAAAUAGCUGGUAAAUAUGGUAAUGGAAUCACCACAAGUUACAAAUAUAGUAAUGGAAUCACCACAAGAUGCAACUAAAACUAAGAUGCAAAUCAAAACCACAUGAUUAUUUAGGUGGUAAUGUAUUAAAGUUGUAGGUGCUAAUUAAUGUGUAGUGGAGCAUCUAGUAAAUAUAGAAGAUUUGUAGUAAAUGACGUUGUGAUGUACAAGGCUCUAGUUUUGCAAGAUGAUAAAUGGAAGUAGUUUAUAUCGUAAUACAAGUUCUUGUCCUCAUUAUUACUGGCGUUACUACUAUAUGUAUGCAUGAUUACUGUUUACAUGCAAAAUUGUACGCUCAAACAUGUUCAUUUUAGGUUACUAUAUAUGGGCUAGGUGUGACAAUCAGUUGUGACAUGCGGUGGGGUACACUACAGGUUGGUUUGAUCUUAACCAAACUGAGGGCGCCCACAUGAUGGAUCUGCACGCAGAAUAAGUCAGUGUACGCGCUCACACAGUUUAUAUAUGUUUUUUGGUAUUAAGUAUAUAUAUACACACACAAACAUAGCCCGUAUCUGUGUUUUUUAUAAGGUGCUGUAGCAUGGUAUCGGUAUUUGUAUUUGUAUUUGUAUGUUGGAGACCAAUAGACUUCUAGUAUAAACAUGACUAACCUCUAUAAUAAUAUAGAGAGAGAGACACACACACACACAAACAUAACCCAUAUGUGUUUUUUAAAAGGUGCCAGAGCACAGUAUCGGCAUUUGUAUCUGUAUCGCUGUAACUUGGUACAGAUUUUCCCUGCAUGCUUACUCGUCAAGUG